GGUCAUAACACCGUGUAUCUUCUUGCGGUGAGCUGCGAAUCAUCUGGCAGCAAAGUCCUUCGGAACCGCUGGUCUCUCUGGCGGUUUGUCGCUGGUCUCUCUGGCGACGUAAAUCCUCAGGACAAAUCAAUUGCCAACGUGUAUGUCCCCAUUGGCAGGGUCCUUAACAUAGUCAGAUUGUCAAUUCAUAAUGUUUCUUAUAUCAUAAUUCUUCAUAAAUCAUAUUUCAUAUUCUAAUUUCGAUAAUAAAAUAUAUAAUCAUGUAGUAUCGAAAUCAAUC
rnacentral:lncRNA from 1 species